CCUGUGGCUGGGGGUGAAAGGCCAAUCAAACCGGGAGAUAGCUGGUUCUCCCCGAAAGCUAUUUAGGUAGCGCCUCGUGAAUUCAUCUCCGGGGGUAGAGCACUGUUUCGGCUAGGGGGCCAUCCCGGCUUACCAACCCGAUGCAAACUGCGAAUACCGGAGAAUGUUAUCACGGGAGACACACGGCGGGUGCUAACGUCCGUCGUGAAGAGGGAAACAACCCAGACCGCCAGCUAAGGUCCCAAAGUCAUGGUUAAGUGGGAAACGAUGUGGGAAGGCCCAGACAGCCAGGAUGUUGGCUUAGAAGCAGCCAUCAUUUAAAGAAAGCGUAAUAGCUCACUGGUCGAGUCGGCCUGCGCGGAAGAUGUAACGGGGCUAAACCAUGCACCGAAGCUGCGGCAGCGACACUCAGGUGUUGUUGGGUAGGGGAGCGUUCUGUAAGCCUGCGAAGGUGGCCUGUGAGGGUUGCUGGAGGUAUCAGAAGUGCGAAUGCUGACAUAAGUAACGAUAAAGCGGGUGAAAAGCCCGCUCGCCGGAAGACCAAGGGUUCCUGUCCAACGUUAAUCGGGGCAGGGUGAGUCGACCCCUAAGGCGAGGCCGAAAGGCGUAGUCGAUGGGAAACGGGUUAAUAUUCCCGUACUUGGUGUUACUGCGAAGGGGGGACGGAGAAGGCUAUGUUGGCCGGGCGACGGUUGUCCCGGUUUAAGCGUGUAGGUGUGUGUUCCAGGUAAAUCCGGUUCACUUUAACACUGAGGCGUGACGACGAGGCACUACGGUGCUGAAGCAACAAAUGCCCUGCUUCCAGGAAAAGCCUCUAAGCAUCAGGUAACAUCAAAUCGUACCCCAAACCGACACAGGUGGUCAGGUAGAGAAUACCAAGGCGCUUGAGAGAACUCGGGUGAAGGAACUAGGCAAAAUGGUGCCGUAACUUCGGGAGAAGGCACGCUGACACGUAGGUGAAGUGAUUUACUCAUGGAGCUGAAGUCAGUCGAAGAUACCAGCUGGCUGCAACUGUUUAUUAAAAACACAGCACUGUGCAAACACGAAAGUGGACGUAUACGGUGUGACGCCUGCCCGGUGCCGGAAGGUUAAUUGAUGGGGUCAGCGCAAGCGAAGCUCCUGAUCGAAGCCCCGGUAAACGGCGGCCGUAACUAUAACGGUCCUAAGGUAGCGAAAUUCCUUGUCGGGUAAGUUCCGACCUGCACGAAUGGCGUAAUGAUGGCCAGGCUGUCUCCACCCGAGACUCAGUGAAAUUGAACUCGCUGUGAAGAUGCAGUGUACCCGCGGCAAGACGGAAAGACCCCGUGAACCUUUACUAUAGCUUGACACUGAACAUUGAGCCUUGAUGUGUAGGAUAGGUGGGAGGCUUUGAAGUGUGGACGCCAGUCUGCAUGGAGCCGGCCUUGAAAUACCACCCUUUAAUGUUUGAUGUUCUAACGUGGACCCGUGAUCCGGGUUGCGGACAGUGUCUGGUGGGUAGUUUGACUGGGGCGGUCUCCUCCUAAAGAGUAACGGAGGAGCACGAAGGUUGGCUAAUCCUGGUCGGACAUCAGGAGGUUAGUGCAAUGGCAUAAGCCAGCUUGACUGCGAGCGUGACGGCGCGAGCAGGUGCGAAAGCAGGUCAUAGUGAUCCGGUGGUUCUGAAUGGAAGGGCCAUCGCUCAACGGAUAAAAGGUACUCCGGGGAUAACAGGCUGAUACCGCCCAAGAGUUCAUAUCGACGGCGGUGUUUGGCACCUCGAUGUCGGCUCAUCACAUCCUGGGGCUGAAGUAGGUCCCAAGGGUAUGGCUGUUCGCCAUUUAAAGUGGUACGCGAGCUGGGUUUAGAACGUCGUGAGACAGUUCGGUCCCUAUCUGCCGUGGGCGCUGGAGAACUGAGGGGGGCUGCUCCUAGUACGAGAGGACCGGAGUGGACGCAUCACUGGUGUUCGGGUUGUCAUGCCAAUGGCACUGCCCGGUAGCUAAAUGCGGAAGAGAUAAGUGCUGAAAGCAUCUAAGCACGAAACUUGCCCCGAGAUGAGUUCUCCCUGAGACUUAG
rnacentral:rRNA from 1 species